AAUGGGUCAGCGACUUAUAUUCUGUAGCAAGGUUAACCGAAUAGGGGAGCCGAAGGGAAACCGAGUCUUAACUGGGCGUUAAGUUGCAGGGUAUAGACCCGAAACCCGGUGAUCUAGCCAUGGGCAGGUUGAAGGUUGGGUAACACUAACUGGAGGACCGAACCGACUAAUGUUGAAAAAUUAGCGGAUGACUUGUGGCUGGGGGUGAAAGGCCAAUCAAACCGGGAGAUAGCUGGUUCUCCCCGAAAGCUAUUUAGGUAGCGCCUCGUGAAUUCAUCUCCGGGGGUAGAGCACUGUUUCGGCAAGGGGGUCAUCCCGACUUACCAACCCGAUGCAAACUGCGAAUACCGGAGAAUGUUAUCACGGGAGACACACGGCGGGUGCUAACGUCCGUCGUGAAGAGGGAAACAACCCAGACCGCCAGCUAAGGUCCCAAAGUCAUGGUUAAGUGGGAAACGAUGUGGGAAGGCCCAGACAGCCAGGAUGUUGGCUUAGAAGCAGCCAUCAUUUAAAGAAAGCGUAAUAGCUCACUGGUCGAGUCGGCCUGCGCGGAAGAUGUAACGGGGCUAAACCAUGCACCGAAGCUGCGGCAGCGACGCUUAUGCGUUGUUGGGUAGGGGAGCGUUCUGUAAGCCUGUGAAGGUGUACUGUGAGG
rnacentral:rRNA from 1 species